UGAGGAUCGAACCCGGGCCGCACGCAUGCCAGGUCACUCUUCCCUUUGACUCCUACUCUACCAGUCAUGCCUCAGUAAAGGCCUGAUCACAAGAAACUCCAACAUCUCACAAGUCUGUGUCUCUAAAGCCUCCAGAGUACCAGGAAGUGCCCUUUCAGUGAAGGAGCGAAUACAGGCAAAAUUACCUCAACAUCUAGUCCAAACUGGAUGGCAAAGCUCUCAGCUUCAGCAAAUCUGUGUUUGUGAAGUAACCGACUCAACCUGGUGACCCUUAAAUGCAGACCUCCCAAAAGAAGAAUAACAACAGCAACAUGUCAAGAACAGUCUUGAGUGAACCAUCAGCAAACUAAUCUAAGUUUCAAAAAAUAGUAUGUUCAAAGGCCCAUUCACCAACCUAAGAAUAACAAGAAAUCUAGAACUAAUAAAUACAAAAGUACUUUC